AUAAAAGCAACAUUGAAGUGAAAACCUACAGCCAAGACUACGCAAGUGCUGCCACCGCCGAUGAUUUAAUGAACAAGCCAAGACACAAUCCUAUCGAAGG